rnacentral:rRNA from 1 species
AACGAACGCUGGCGGCAUGCCUAACACAUGCAAGUCGAACGCGUGUAGCAAUACACGAGUGGCGGACGGGUGAGUAACGCGUGGGAACCUGCCCAAUGGUAGGGAGUAACUGCGGGAAACUGCAGCUAAUACCCUAUGCUCCCUACGGGGAAGAUUUAUCGCCAUUGGAGGGCCCGCGUCGGAUUAGCUAGUUGGCGGGGUAACGGCCCACCAAGGCUACGAUCCGUAGCUGGUCNGAGAGGAUGAUCAGCCACACUGGGACUGAGACACGGCCCAGACUCCUACGGGAGGCAGCAGUGGGGAAUAUUGGACAAUGGGCGCAAGCCUGAUCCAGCGAUGCCGCGUGUGUGAAGAAGGCCUGCGGGUUGUAAAGCACUUUCAGUAGGGAAGAAAAGCCGAGUGCUAAUAUCAUUCGGUCUUGACGUUACUUACAGAAGAAGCACCGGCUAACUCCGUGCCA